AGGCACAGAGAGAGGAGGGAGAGGGCGCGGCGAGGGGAAGGAAGGGGCGGCUCCGGCGGCUGACGCGCGACGGCGACGGCGGCUGGAGGCGGCGCACAAACAAAGCCGACGGCCGGUUGUGGGGGAACUUAGAACGGCGGCCGGCGGUGAUGGAUUGGAGAGAGGGAGAGAGAGAGAGAGCUUGGAGCUUCGAUUUUUUUGUGAUGGAAAUGGAGGGGUUCGCCGGUUUUUAUAGGAAGCAAAGGCGGUGGAGGGAGAGGUGGUCGACGACGGCACGGCUCGGCGUCGAUUUGGAGGUGGGGAGGCGGCGCGGCAAGGUGGCGGCGGUGGAUUGGCUGGAGGCGGCGAGGUGGCGGCGGCGGAUUGGUCGAGCGCGGUGGCGGCGGCGGAUUGGUUGGGUGAGGUGGCGGCGGCGGCGAGAUGGCGGCGGCGGAUUGGUUGGCGACGGCGGCGGCUGGUUGCAGCGGUGGCGGCGGCGGAUUGGUCGGGCGGUGACGAGGUGGCGGCAGCGGAUUGGCUGGUGGCGGCGAGGUGGCGGCGGCGGAUUGGCUGGGCAGCGGCGGUUUGGCUGGGUGGCGGCGGCGCCUGGUUUCAGCGGUGGCGGCGGCGGCUCACAGGAAGGAGGAGGGAGGCUGAAUAGACUUUUGCCAAUUGGGCCGAAUGAAGGGACUU
rnacentral:lncRNA from 1 species